rnacentral:rRNA from 1 species
AACGAACGCUGGCGGCAGGCCUAACACAUGCAAGUCGAACGCCCAGUAAUGGGAGUGGCGCACGGGUGCGUAACGCGUGGGAAUAUGCCCUUCACUACGGAACAACGUUUGGAAACGAACGCUAAUACCGUAUAAUGACUCCGGUCCAAAGAUUUAUCGGUGAAGGAUUAGCCCGCGUUAGAUUAGCUAGUUGGUGGGGUAAUGGCUCACCAAGGCAACGAUCUAUAGGGGGUCUGAGAGGAUGAUCCCCCACACUGGAACUGAGACACGGUCCAGAUUCCUACGGGAGGCAGCAGUGAGGAAUAUUGGACAAUGGGCGCAAGCCUGAUCCAGCCAUGCCGCGUGAGUGAUGAAGGCCUUCGGGUUGUAAAGCUCUUUUAACGGUGAAGAUAAUGACGGUAGCCAUAGAAAAAGCCCCGGCUAAUUCGUGCCAGCCGCCGCGGUAA